GGCUUCCAGCGCGUUCAAAGUCCCACCGCGCCUCUCUGGUGGGAGGCAGAGCCCACCCGAUUAUUUUUCAAAGCCCUGGGUUUCAGCGUCCCUAACCUGCUCCAUAAAUAGGAACGCAAUUAAAGAUGCUCCAGGAAACUUGGUGACCGUAUUUAAUUUUUCUCUCCUCCCAUCUUGAGGGGCGAGGAAAUCCCACCGCUGAAUAGCGGUUAGUAUCUGUUUUACAAGAUUUACUCAUUUUCAGGUGCCUGACGUAGCUGCUAGCAUGCAUGCACAACAAUACAAUUUAUAUGGUAAAUGGGACCGAAUAAUGGCUUCACUGAAUGUUAUGGCUGCGCUGAAGGGAGAUGUCACGGUAAAUAGCCACCAAAUUAUGGAUCGUGCCGCAGUGUCACAACCACACUGAAGACAGAUAGCACUGGGGGCGAUCGCCACUGGGACGUCUCUCCGGCCACAUGAAGGAGACUUUUCUGCCCGCUUUCAGCAGCGCCCGCGCACGCGGGGCAGGGGACAGGUUCUGGGAAUGCUCAGUGCCCAGGAAGUGACCGGCCACGGGCGGACACUGCGAUCCACCCGUGCCAUCCACGGAGGUGAUGCGAUUUCACGGGGCAUCUGUUGCUUCCCACGCAGAUAGAUGUGCGCGGUCUGAACCGGGCCGCCCCUCUCCCCCCACGGAGGCUCCAGGAGCAAGGACCCCGCCAGCUGAACUGCUGCUUCAAACUGCAGUGCGUCCCGGUUUCUUUCAUUUUAAUGGGAGGGUAAUAAAGAUGAAAGACCAGCAUUUCAGCUGAUGGAUCCCUUAAGCUACAGAAUAGAAAUUUAUGAUGUUUUGAAGGAAUAGACGAAAUUCAGCGAUGUAAAAAAAAAAAAAAAUUUCAAACAACGAAGUCUAAAAUAAAAUAUAAUCUGAAAACCUCAUGCUCACUUUCCCCAAACUCAGGAACUACAGUGCAUGCUGUUUUCAUUUAUUCUUAGAAAACAAGCAUGAAGGAUUCCGCCCAUUCAGAUAAUGCCAAAAAUAUGUUUAAACUUUUUUUUUUCUUAUUCUUCUGAAAAAUGAUUUGUAAAUUGAGGGUCAUAGUUCAGUAUCAGUUUCAUCUUCUGGGAUUAUCGUUCAGGACGAGCCUGUAAUGGGAGGUGAAAUGGUGCGACACGCUCACACCCCUUCCUGAACUGCAUUACAUAUCACAGAACGUACAUCCGUAACUCAGGGCAAUUGUCAGUCUUUGUGUUAGAGACAGGGCUGGGGCUGAGCGAUCCUGGGGGAUGAGUUAUUUCUCGGUUCUCAGGGUGGCCUUCUCUGCACCUCAGCCUUGAGGUCUCCAGCUGGGCAGAUGGAGGGGUUUGACUUUGAGGAAGCCAUUCCUUGCCACUCCGUUGUGACUUCUAAAAAAGCAAGUGCUAUAUUCCUUCACAUUUGUUUUGCAUGCAAAAAAAAAAAAA